rnacentral:rRNA from 1 species
UACGUAGGGUGCAAGCGUUGUCCGGAAUUAUUGGGCGUAAAGAGCUCGUAGGCGGUCUGUUGCGUCGGCUGUGAAAACCCGAGGCUCAACCUCGGGCCUGCAGCCGAUACGGGCAGACUAGAGUUCGGCAGGGGAGACUGGAAUUCCGUGGUGUAGCGGUGAAAUGCGCAGAUAUCAGGAGGAACACCGGUGGCGAAGGCGGG